rnacentral:rRNA from 1 species
AUUGAACGCUGGCGGCAUGCCUUACACAUGCAAGUCGAACGGCAGCGGGGACUUCGGUCCGCCGGCGAGUGGCGAACGGGUGAGUAAUGUAUCGGAACGUACCAUUCAGUGGGGGAUAACUAUCCGAAAGGAUAGCUAAUACCGCAUAUUCUGUGAGCAGGAAAGAAGGGGAUCGCAAGACCUUGCGCUGAUUGAGCGGCCGAUAGCAGAUUAGCUAGUUGGUGAGGUAACGGCUCACCAAGGCUACGAUCGGUAGCGGGUCUGAGAGGAUGAUCCGCCACACUGGGACUGAGACACGGCCCAGACUCCUACGGGAGGCAGCAGUGGGGAAUUUUGGACAAUGGGCGCAAGCCUGAUCCAGCCAUGCCGCGUGAGUGAAGAAGGCCUUCGGGUUGUAAAGCUCUUUCGGCCGGGAAGAAAUCGCAUCAGCUAAUACCUGGUGUGGAUGACGGUACCGGAAUAAGAAGCACCGGCUAACUACGUGCCAGCCGCCGCAGUAA